CAGAGUGUUGUAUUGUCAUUCUAAGGUGUUGAUUAUAUCCAGCACAAUCUAUCUAAUUUCAUAGUCUGUAAAAUUACUAAUUCCAUAGACUCUCUCAAACACUUGGGAUUAGUUUCAUUUGGGGCAUUCAUUCACUUCUACCACUAUCUUAUCCAAGUAUAGCACCAGUAACUUUUUUUGUUGUUGUUGUCUUUUUAGGGCUGCACCUGCAGCAUAUGGAGGUUCCUAGGCUAGGGGUCAAAUCAGAGCUAUAGCUGCUCUCCUAUGCCACAGCCACAGCAAGUGGGAUCCGAGCCAUAUCUCUGACCUACACCACAGCUCAUGACAACACCAGAUCCUUAACCCACUGGGCAAGGCCAGGGAUUGAACCUAUGUCCUCAUGGAUGCUAGUCAGGUUCAUUUCCACUGAGCCAUGACGGGAACUCCGACCAGUAAUGUUUUAACUGAAGCAUCUCCUUCUUAGAGCCAUUUGCAAAUCCAAGUGUGCUAACUAAACCUGUGAGUAAGUGACUGAAGAACAACAAAAGUAAGUGAGGAGAGAACUACGACUGAAUGGAGGGAAGAGUUUAAUUUCACAGCACCUGCAAGAGGCCUUAGCCAACUGCACAGUAAGGUCUUGAGACUAUGCUGACCAUAUGAUAUGAUCAAAUUGAGACAGAGGGGACCAGGCUUUGUUUAUAUUGACCAGUAAUUCAGUAUUGACUGUUUUCAGAAAGAGGGCAUGACUUUGAGAAAAAAAAGCUUCCUUUAGGCAUUGGUUGUUCACCUUGACACUAGUAGCCAAUAGUUCCUGGAACUGGAAAAAACAGUCUUUCAUCCUUUAAGAGAGGCUCUAGUUACUUCACCAUGAUAUUCACUCUGCUUCCUUAUUUUUACUGCCAUUUUUGUUUCAGUUUUUCUUAUUCUGCAAUGAUCAGUUUCCAUAUUCCAUUUUUCAUUUUCCUUUCAAUUUACUAUGUAAAUGUUUUUCAAAAUAAUCUUAUUAAGGAUCAGUAUUGAUCAUGUCACUCUUCACUUAAACAAAAAACAAAACAGCAAAUUUAUGUUUUCCAAGGAAUUAUAUUCUCCUAACUUCAUUUGCUCUUAGGAGUUUUGAAGUGUUUUCUAUUUGAUUUUCAUCAUAAUUGACCUUACCGUUCCAUAUUUUAUCACCUCCCACAUAUGCUCCUUGCUUUAUUAAAUUAUCCUUAAUUUAAUAUUUAUAUACUCCUUUAACUUUGAAAUCUGGUUGAGAAAAUAACAUACAUUUAUACAAAUGAAAUGACAAAGAUGCUAUACUUUAGUUUGUACUGCAGUAUGAAAUUAGUAGUACAAUUAGAAACAUAGCCUUGUAGAAUAGCGAGCACAUUUUUCAUAGUUGAUUUGGGAGUUAUGCAGAAAGUGAGAGGGAAGAGAUGGCAGUCCAGGUGUAAGAAAAGAUAGAAGAGGCAUGGUUAGGUGUGGUGCUAAUAGUUUUUCCAAAAAUAACAUGUAGAACAGUCUGAACAAAAACAACAAGGAUUUCAUUUUGGUGACUAAUGGGGGAUACAGAUGUAGAAAAAGGGGGAGAGGGUUUAAAUUGCUAAUAACCUGAUCUAUCACGUCACAAAAUUGACAUUUUAUACCUUUGUAGGGCAUGAUAAAAGGGGUUAAGCAGAGUUAUUUGAAAAGGACAUAUUUACUCUAUAAUUUUAUUCAGUUUUUUUCUCUAUAUUGUAAAAUCUAUGAAUUUUUACUUGAAAUAAGUACAUUGAAAUAAUAUAAUGUAUGAGUUCAAAUAUUAGUAGUAGGAAUUGUACAAUUACCUUUGUCUGGUAAACUAAGGAACUUGCCGUAUAUUAAGAAAACUCAAUAUAUGAAGGAACUUUCUAUGACUUCUUACCUCUGAUUUAAGCAAUCAAGUAUCCCUGAAGAAGAGAAGAAAUAUGCAGCAGCUGGUGAGGGAGAAGGGGCCAUCAAUGAAGUCAUUAUUGUUGCUAUUUUUGAUGGGUUGUCUAACUGCUUAUUUUCAUACAGAUAGGAAUGAUAAAAAAUAUUUGAAGGAAAUUAAUUAUGUAGGGAAGGAGAGAAAUCACUGGGGUGAUAUCUUUGAGCUAAGGAAUAGGUGAUAAAGUUAAUCAGUACUAACAUAUGAGGCAGGUUGUAAUAGGUAGUUGGCUAUGGUGAUACUAAAUUGAUUACUUUUUUCCUUUUCAAGUGAAAUAAAAUGCAAAGCUGUAGAGUAAAAGGGAGGAUGGAAAAAAGGUUUUGGAUACCUGAGGAGAGAAAACAGUGUCUAAAAUCAUCCCUCAGGGGAGUAGAAAGAUGAGCUGAGUAGUCAAAUAUGGAAAAAUUGCUUGGUAACAUUAGGAAUAUAUUGAGGGUGAUGGUAGUGGAUAUAAGGUGGUCCCUGCAGAUAGGUUAAGUUAAAGAAUCAGCAACUUUGAGAUAUUCUAAAAAUAAUGCAGCUUCAGAAGCUGCAAGAUUAUUUUUGUUUCUAGUAAUCCAGACCUGGAAUGAUUGUUUCUGGUUAAUAGGGAGCUCUGCUCCUUCUCCUGAAGAUCACUGAAUUUCUUAGUUUCUUUCCAGCAUUUAUAUUGGCUUUCCUCUAGGGGCUAACUUUAUCUCUGUGUUUAAAUAUGGCUUGCAAACUUAUCCAGGCUAUGGAAGAGAGAGAUUGUUUGCUUAAAUUUCUGUGUAAGUAGAGAGACAAAGGAUAAAAAUAUUGCUUCUGCUAACUUUUAAUCAAUGAAAAAUUAGUUAUGUGGGCACAGCCUGUCAUAAUGGUGAAAGAUGCUGGAAAUACAAUUAUCUGGCUGGACAUGCACCAUUGCAAAAAAGGGAGGUAAUAUAUUUACACUAAUAUUUAAUAUUUUCCAUAUACAGCACACAUUGAAAAAUGUUUAGUCUAUCCAUAUUCAAGAAUGGAAUAAAAGUUUAGACAUAGUUUUAUUCUCCAGGAGAAUACAAGGAACAGAGAGACUCUUGUCCAAGAAAUUUUAGUAUAUAUACAAAGAAGUGAUUAUAAUAUUAGGGAAUGUGAUCCAGCUCUAAGGAGAAGUAAAAUAAAGAUGUGAAAUGAGGAUUGUUGCUGAAAGUUACUGAAAAAAAGGUGAGAAAUGCUGUUUUAUAGGAAGGGAAUGUGAAUAUGGGAAGGGAUUUGAAAAGAGAGAAAUGCCUUAAAUCAUAUUUUUUUUUAAGAUGUGUGAAACUAAUGAGAAAUUCUGGUGAAUAAACAUAGGACUGAAUUACUGUUAUGGACUCACAUGUUGGUCUCCCAACAGGGUCCUUCUACCUGGUGUUGCUCUAGCCAAUAGAAUGAGACCAACUUCAGUUCAGAAGCAAAGGAGAGCUUUAUUCUUUGAUGAGAGAAUGGAGAAGUGUGAGCAGGUGGUCUAGAGCCUUCUGCUCUGAGAGGCUGUGGGUGGGGCUGCUUUAUAGAGUUCUUAUCAACAGGAAAAGUGAGGGGGUGGAGUGGGGCAGAGUGCUUACAAGUCCAGCGCGGCAGCAGUCAGUGUUCCUCAAGCUCCAGAUGACAGUGCUGGGGGCAGCAUCUCUGAACACUUCCCACUGCUGCCUCCCCCAUCUUUAAUUGAGGUGUCACUUGCUGCUACACCCGUCCCAUGGGGCUGAGGUGUCCAGAUAGCCAGCUUUUUCUGCAGUAGGAGCUCUGGUCAGAAGUCCCAGGCAUAAGACCUCUGCAUGCGGCCCGCCUCUGAGAAACUGCAACUAGACUAAGAACAAAGUGGAAAAAAAGGUUAGACUUUAUUUUAUUACCCAGACUCUAUUUUUAUUUCCUGGGAAUUGUUAAUGGACUUUGCCAGUGAUAUUAUCAAUUUAUGUUGUUAGGUGAGAUAAUUGGAGGAGAGAAAUUGGAACAAGUGAAAGGCUAGAUUCAUAGAUGCACAUGUUGAAACACUACACUGGAGAAGCUGCCAUCUGUAAGUCUACUUAAAUGCCAAUCAUUCGUCCUCUCCUCUUGGAGUAGCAUCUUAGCACAGCUUUUCUGUGUAAAUGUUCCUUGCCUGCUUAUUAUUUUAGUGAUGAGCCAUUUCCAAUCAUCGCAAAUAUCCUCUUAUGUGAAGGAUUUAGAAAACAAACAAAAAAAGUCUUUACAUUCUUAAAGAAAAAAAUGGAAUUCUCCUCUGUAGAUUCAGACAGUGAGUUAGAUAACAUAUCCUCUAUCUUUCUAUUCUGGUUUCGAUAAAAUAAUUCACACUCUCUGCCUGUCAUUGCAUGAGUAAUCCAUAAAAUAACACAUUUUAGUGUUUUGUGCAGGAGGGCAUUUAAUGCUUAGGGAGAAAGACUAUUCUUCUGUUUAGUAGUCUAGUCAGGAAGUUAUGUGUGUGUUUUAAUCUUUGCUGGGCAUAAAUAACCCUGCCACUUUUCAUUCAGAUUGCCUCUAAUUCUGCUUCCUCCUCAAGAAUUCCUUUUCUACUUGUUGUUUACAUCUUUCAAAUAUUUGCAGAUCAUUUUCAUAUUCCUUUAGCCCAGCUAUAAAUAUUAUGCUGCUUUAAUGUCGCCCCAUAAAUCAGUCUUCCGUGCUCAUUAUUCAGUUGUUUUUAUCCUGGACUCUUUCCUGCAUUACCACAUAUGCCUUAUAUUGAAGUGUCCUAGAAUUAGGACAGCAUUGCAGCUGCAAUCUCACCAAUGAUAGUAUCAAUUUCCAUUCUUAGUACAGGAUAUCUCUUCAUGUUGUGUUUGUUAAAUUAUAUCCAUAGAUUUAGUUUGUUUUGUUGACUGUGCUGUAUCACUUUUCUUUAUGAAAUGUUGUAAUUAAUCUGUCUCUUAGGUGUCAUCAUUUCUGAUAUCCAUGGAUUAGUCACAAUGCUAGUCUCUAAAAUCCAUGAUUUUAUCUCAUGUUGGAUUGUAAUUUUGUUUUUUUUUUUCCCAUGGAAACACUGUAUUUUAAAGUCGCAUAAGCAUCACAUUGCACCAUACAGUCCCUCACUUAGGAUAAUUUGUUAAGCUGUUAAAUAAGGGAGAACUGAAAUCUAAUGGCUGAAAGAAAGCUAAUUGCACAUAGGUAAACUCUUUGCAAUAUUUGUCAUUAAGACCAUUUUUCAUUCAAUAUUUAAACAAAGAAGAAGCAUUUAUAUUCUGACAAGUUACAGUAUGUAGAAAAAGACAUUUAAAGAAAUACUUCAAAUAAAAAAAAAUAUGGUUCUGAAUGACCUCACAGAGUAUGCAACCCAGUGAAAUAGAAAUUUUCUAAACACUGAAAAAUAUUACAUAGUUCCAAAUUAGUGCUGUGAUGCUGUCCUCAACUCCCAAAAUACUAUCGAUAUGAUAAUAUUAAUGUUCUUAAUUACAAAGUAGAACUCUGUAUUUCCAUGUAGAAGCUUAAAAAGUUACUCAGUCCCUUUUGAAAAAAAUUCCUAAUGAAUUUUUGAGACAAAUAUGAUUGGAGGUACAACAAACACAUGGAAAUAUUGAAAAUGUAAAUUGGAAGUAUUAGACAAUAUACAAAGGCAGAGAGGUCUAAAAGAAUACAUUCUGAACACUUUAAUUUUGGCUGAUAAUAAGUUUUGAAGAAUAGAAAAAAGUGGUUUCACCUGAAAAACAGGUGAAUGGGGGUUCCUUCUUCCUGCGCCAAAUCCAGUGUUUCCACUAAUUUUGUUCAGGUGCCCACUCUAACAUGUUAUUGAAUUGAAGAUAAGCCCAUAUACAGCUUAAGAUUGCUUCUGUUUAGUCAUAUGUGGAAUGUCACUAUAAAAAAUCCUCUGAAAUUUAAAACAUCUGAAAUAAAAAUAAUGUCUAUAAUAAUCUAAAACAUAAUAAGUCUUAAAGAAAAUGAAUGAGACCUUCAAACUGAGAACUAAAAGCAUUGCUCAUUGCUGUUAAGCAAUUAAAGAAGGCUUAGGAGUUCCCAUUGUGGCUCUGUAGAGACAAAUCUGACUAGUAUCUAUAAGGAUGCAGGUUCGAACCCUGGCUUCACUCAGUGGGUUAAGGAUCCAGUGUUGCCAUGAGCUAUGGUGUAGGUCGCAGAUGCAGCUCAGAUCACGCACUGCUGUGGCUGUGGUGUAGGCCAGCAGCUACAGCUCUGAUUCGACCCCUGGCCUGGGAACCUCCAUAUGCCACAGGUGCGGCCCUAAAAAGACAAAAAAAAAAAAAGCUUAAAUAAAAGGAAAGAGAUAUCCUUAGUCAUGUCUCAGAAGUUUUUACUAUUCUGAAGAUGCCAAAUAUGUCUAAAAUAAAUUAUAAAUGAAAUAACUGUUAAAAUCUCAGCAGGCUUUUUAUAAAUAUUGACAUGCUCUUUCAUUCAUUCAGAAAUUCCAAGGACCUCCAACUUUCAAAAAAUAAAGACAGUCAAAGGGCUAAACUGAUUUCAAAAAUUGUAUAAAUCUACAAAACUAUAACUGUGUUUUUAUAUCAAGAGGGACAAAUAGAUCAAUGAGAAAAGUUGAGAAAUUCUGGAAAUAGACUUACACAUAUAUGGACAAUUAAUUUUUUUAUAAUACCUCCACUGAGACUCAAUUCACGAACUUACAUACCAUACAAUUCAUGUACUUAAAGUGUACAGUUUGAUGAUAUUUAGUAUAUUCACAGUUGUGUAACAAUAACCACAGUCAAAUUUAGAACAUUUUCAUCAUCC
rnacentral:lncRNA from 1 species